rnacentral:rRNA from 1 species
CAAUAGCGUAUAUUAAAGUUGUUGCAGUUAAAAAGCUCGUAGUUGGAUUUCUGGUGGGAGCGAUCGGUCUGGCGCUUAGCGCGAGUACUUGCAUCGUCUCCGGCCAUCCUUGGGGAGAGUCUGUCUGGCAUUAAGUUGUCGGGCAGAGGAUCCUCAUCGUUUACUGUGAAAAAAUUAGAGUGUUCAAAGCAGGCUUAUGCCGUUGAAUAUAUUAGCAUGGAAUAAUAAGAUGGGACUUUGGUACUAUUUUGUUGGUUUGCGCACCAAAGUAAUGAUUAAUAGGGACAGUUGGGGGUAUUCGUAUUCCGUUGUCAGAGGUGAAAUUCUUGGAUUUACGGAAGACGAACUACUGCGAAAGCAUUUACCAAGGAUGUUUUCAUUAA